GACAGGAAGGAAGCAGGAGAUAGGGAGACAGGAAGGGUGCAGGA
rnacentral:SRP_RNA from 11 species